rnacentral:rRNA from 1 species
UACGUAGGGUGCAAGCGCUAUCCGGAAUCAUUGGGCGUAAAGCGUUCGUAGGUGGUUUAGAAAGUUCGUGGUUAAAUCCGGUCGCUCAACGAUCGAAUCGCUACGAAAACUCCUAAACUAGAGAAUGACAGGGGCAACUGGAAUUUCGCAUGUAGGGGUAAAAUCCGUUGAUAUGCGAAGGAACACCAAAAGCGAAGGCAGGUUGCUGGGUCAUUUCUGACGCUCAAGAACGAAAGCGUGGGGAGCAAACAGG